CUAGCUUUCUGCUAACGAGCAAGCUUAUGCCUUCCUCAGAUGUUUCAGCGUUACUUCCAAACAUCUGGCUCAACAAGUCUUCUGGUACCCCGCCUCCGGUAUGCGUGAUCCUGCAUUCAAGAAGAUAAAGCCAAUAAGUAACUAUGUAGACAAAAUUUUAAAUUAGAAAAUAACCUAUUUACAAAAGCACCAUUUGGUAAUGAUGACUUUUGCUUUUCUUUUUUUCCCAGUACAGACAGCAGAAAAACCAUUUGGCUUUAAAGAUACACGUGUUAGAGACCCAUGCAAAAUCUUAAUGUUUACCUAAAAGUUUAUUUACCAAAAAGCAUAAUUAAUUUUGUCUAAAAGACUCGAGAGCCUAAGGCCGAAUUACAUAAAACUAGAUCCUUAUGUUCAUGUAUUGUAGCUUAAUAAAUUCAAAUUAAACCAAAUGGUGAACUUUAACACUUCAACAUCUUCUUUUAAACCAAAUGGUAUGGGUGUGGGUGUGGUGGCAGGUCGAGCAGAGGAAUUUUUCUGUAGAACUUCGGAAGAGGGCUUUCAAGGAUGCUUGUGAAAGGCUUUGUCUGAUUCGUGCAGGGGAAUUAUAACCAAGUGUUUGGGCUUGUUAGUUGUUGCUAGACAGUGAUUCGGUUUUUACUCGAAUUACCGUAAUUAUAAUUCGGUAAUUCGGUUAUUGUUAAAUUUUGG
rnacentral:lncRNA from 1 species